AACGGUCUAUACCUGCGGUACCUGCGGAAGGAUCAUUACUGAGUUUUAAGCAUGGGAGCUGUGGCUUUGGCCAUGGUUCCUGUGUUCCUUACUCUUCACCCUUUUGCUAUUUCUUUUCUAGUUGCUUUGGCUGCAGCAUAAAUAAGUGCUGCAGCCAAGGGAAAUUCUUAAUUAAACUCAAUGCUACUUUAAUAGUUGGAUAUGAUUGUCAGAUUUUUAUACUUAUUAUAAUAGUCAUAA
rnacentral:misc_RNA from 1 species